AUGUGGGUGUGGCGAAUCCAAGUGGCACAGACGCUGCACCUCCUGACCAGCCGAGCCACCGCAGUCAGCCAGGAAGCUCAGAGAGGAGUGAAAUUUAUUAUUGGCCAGAAUGGUGACAGGAGACCCCAGAGGACUGCGCCGCAAAGAAUUUGCUGAGCCUCGUGGCUAAAGUCCCUGGCCUAGUUUGAUCUUGAAGUCAUUGUCUUGGCUAAUCCUUCAAAUCUGUUCCUGUACUUAGGAGCCACUCAGCAUGUGGCGGAGCUCUCCCUCCCAGGCUCCUUUACAUCGACCUGUCAGAGCAGACUUUCAGGGGACAUGCACAUCACAUCAAGUCAUCCCACAGCUGUCCCUUUCAAAUGAGUUGGAGCAGAACCAACUAUAUGGAGAAGUCAUAAACGAGGAAACAUGCAACCCAAGGAUAUUCAAUGGCUUUGCAUAGCUCUUUUCACAGAACACUCAGUCUCUUGGGUGUGUCGUGGGUUGUACAGAAUGUGAGUGUAAGCAAACUGACUCUUGGCCCAUUUGUGGCUCACUCUGCCUGACAGGAGACUCAAGAGAACAUUUGGGAGUCCAAACUCUUCAUUAUCUCAAUGAAGUGUUCUUCAAUUUCAUAGCUCCAAGAAGCAACAAAUUUCAGAGCUGGGGUAAAAGGAUUUAG